CCCCUGAUAGUUUAUACGCUAAACCAUUGUGUUUUCAAUACAAAAAAAUUCAAAGAAUUUAGGGUU
rnacentral:tRNA from 1 species